CAGGCCUAACACAUGCAAGUCGAGCGGUAACACAGGGAGCUUGCUCCUGGGUGACGAGCGGCGGACGGGUGAGUAAUGUCUGGGAAACUGCCCGAUGGAGGGGGAUAACUACUGGAAACGGUAGCUAAUACCGCAUAACGUCGCAAGACCAAAGAGGGGGACCUUCGGGCCUCUUGCCAUCGGAUGUGCCCAGAUGGGAUUAGCUAGUAGGUGGGGUAACGGCUCACCUAGGCGACGAUCCCUAGCUGGUCUGAGAGGAUGACCAGCCACACUGGAACUGAGACACGGUCCAGACUCCUACGGGAGGCAGCAGUGGGGAAUAUUGCACAAUGGGCGCAAGCCUGAUGCAGCCAUGCCGCGUGUAUGAAGAAGGCCUUCGGGUUGUAAAGUACUUUCAGCGAGGAGGAAGGCGAUAAGGUUAAUAACCUUGUCGAUUGACGUUACUCGCAGAAGAAGCACCGGCUAACUCCGUGCCAGCAGCCGCGGUAAU
rnacentral:rRNA from 1 species